CAGCAAUGCGGCGGCUGUAGACAAAGGGGCGCCUGAGGGGGCGGCCGCCAUCUUGGGCAGCGAGCGCGGCCUGCGCGGACACGGACCCCCGAGCCGCCGUGUUCGAGACGCCGUCCUCUCUCCCUUCCCUGAGGGAGGCAGCGGGGCGGCCCGGCCCUCACACCUCAGCGCUCAGCGGCCCGAGGUCCCGGUGCGGCCUGGCUGGGAGACGGCCCCGGGCUGCGUGCGGCCUCGGCUCCUCGCGGCGGUGGUUCCCGAGCAGAAACGAUGGUGUUUACAAAACAAAAAAAAUCAAAACUCAGCCCCUUUCCCGCUGAAAUGUUUAAUAAGAGUCUGCCCUGGUGUUUCUUUGCAGUACAACUUUCCUAUAGCAGCUGGAAGAGCCCCGUGCCACCAACAGCAAUGCUUCACCAGGGAUUAAAAAGGAUUCCUCAGAGCUCCCCAGUGCAGCUGAGGCCCAAAGGAGAGGUGGUGGAAGAGCCCUUGGUCAGAGGGGGGGGCCAUGUGCAUCUAUUGAAUGCAUCUGGUGUGCUUCGAUGGAAAAGGUGAAGGUCCAACGCUUGGAAAGCAUUGGAGCAACAGUUAGAAAUGGUGAUGCUGAGAACAGCAACAGCACAAAGCUUUGUAACCUGCGGAGCUCGGCUCUGUGGGGUCACCCUGCAGCUCUGCCCAGCUCACAGCUGAGCACUGCUCACAGCUGUGCUCUGUGCCCUUCAGCCCUUCUGAUUAAAUGAGGGACACAUUCACACCAGUACUCUGCAAUGAGGGUGGAUAGAGUGACCUCGAUGCAUGGAGCUGUUUCGCUAUGCUGCUCCAGGUGCAUUCCAGCCCCACCAGGACCAGGGGCUGUGGGAUGCAAUGGUAUUUGGGGCUUGUGGCUCUCCUGGCAGACGAUUCGUCCCCAAAAAGCAGAAGACACAAUGGUGACGGUGUCCUUCCUUUGGCAUUACCGGAGCUGCUCCAUUAACCAAGGUGAGAUCACCCGUGUUGCCCCAGAUCUGCUGCUCUCCAGGGGUUUCUCCUGCUCCAGAUCUGCUUGUUCCCUCUGACCCGGGCAUGAGGCUGCCCCACUCAGAGCCACGCAGUGGAGAAGACUCAGCUCGCACUGUGGGGCUGCAGCCAAAAGCAGCACUGGGAGCAGCUCUGCAAGCAGCCCCCAGCAGAUUUCUCAGCUUGUUAAGGCAGCUAAUUGUGUGAUGAGAUGUAACGUGUGUGUCACCAGAGCCAACCUCCCUGCAGCAGCAGCUGGCACCGGCACAUCCCUGCUCAGAGCGUCCCCAAACACUCCUUGGCACAGUGAGGACACGGCAAGGUGAUGAAGUACAGAAGGACAGAGGGACCCUCACAUCUGUUGCAUCCUGCAGCCCCACUCCUGCCCAUGUUGGUCUCAUUCAUUUUUG
rnacentral:lncRNA from 1 species